rnacentral:rRNA from 1 species
CGGACUUAACUCAUUCUUUUAGAUUGAGAGCGGUUAGUGGCGCACUGGUGAGUAACACGUAAGCAACCUGCCUAUCAGAGGGGAAUAACAGUGAGAAAUCAUUGCUAAUACCGCAUAAGCUAGUAGUAUCGCAUGAUAUAGCUAGAAAAGGAGCAAUCCGCUGAUAGAUGGGCUUGCGUCUGAUUAGCUAGUUGGUGGGGUAACGGCCUACCAAGGCGACGAUCAGUAGCCGGACUGAGAGGUUGAACGGCCACAUUGGGACUGAGAUACGGCCCAGACUCCUACGGGAGGCAGCAGUCGGGAAUAUUGCGCAAUGGAGGAAACUCUGACGCAGUGACGCCGCGUAUAGGAAGAAGGUUUUCGGAUUGUAAACUAUUGUCGUGAGGGAAGAAAUUGACAGUACCUCAGGAGGAAGCUCCGGCUAACUAUGUGCCAGCAGCCGCGGUAAUACAUAGGGAGCGAGCGUUAUCCGGAUUUAUUGGGCGUAAAGCGUCCGCAGCCGGUUUAUUAAGUAUAGAAUAAAACUUCGGGGCUCAACCCCGUCUCGUUCUAUAAACUGAUAGACUAGAGUGUGGUAGAGGCAAGUGGAAUUUCUAGUGUAGCGGUAGAAUGCGUAGAUAUUAGAAGGAACACCAGUGGCGAAGGCGACUUGCUGGGCCAUCACUGACGGUCAGGGACGAAAGCGUGGGGAGCGAAUAGGAUUAGAUACCCUAGUAGUCCACGCCGUA